rnacentral:rRNA from 1 species
GCGCAGCAGGCGCGAAACCUUCGCAAUGCGGGAAACCGCGACGAGGGGACUCCCAGUGCCUACGCUCAGCGUAGGCUGUUCCCGAGCCUAGAAAGCUCGGGGAGUAAGGGCUGGGUAAGACGGGUGCCAGCCGCCGCGGUAAUACCCGCAGCCCGAGUGGUGGCCACUAUUAUUGGGCCUAAAGCGUCCGUAGCCGGCCCGGUAAAUGCCUGGGUAAAUCGUGAGGCCUAACCUCACGAAUUCCGGGUAGACUGCCGGGCUAGGGGACCGGAGGAGGGAGAGGGUACUCCAGGGGUAGGGGUGAAAUCCUGUAAUCCCUGGAGGACCACCGGUGGCGAAGGCGCUCUCCUAGGACGGGUCCGACGGUGAGGGACGAAAGCCAGGGGAGCGAACCGGAUUAGAUACCCCGGUAGU